UAUUUCCCUUUGAAACCAUGGAAUAGAUUCUAAGAGAACAUUAUUUAUGAUGAAACAACAUUUGCCUAUGAAACCAUGGAAUAGAUUCUAAGAGAACAUUCUUUAUGAUGAAACAACAUUUGCCUAUGAAACCAUGGAAUGGAUUCUAAGAGAACAUUCUUUUUCACAGGUAUUAUGGUGUUGUAACCUUGGUAUCAAUAUUUCAGUACUCCAAUGUGUACUGCACAACCCCUACAGUCCAGAGCCUGAUAGAUGACAGGUCCAUUCAGGAGGAGUGUCUCAACUAUGUCACCAAGAAAGGACAGAAGAGAGCCUGUUUAAGGGAUGUGUUCCAGCUGUACUGUGGUCUGACUCCAGGCACCACAGUUCGUGAUCUUUGCUCCCGCUACUCACAGCAGCUGCAGAGGGUAGGUGAGAGGUGAGUUAUUAA